UACGUAAGUGGCGAGCGUUAUCCGGAAUUACUGGGCGUAAAGAGCUCGUAGGCGGUCUGUUGCGUCUGCUGUGAAAACUCGGGGCUCAACCCCGAGCCUGCAGUGGAUACGGGCAGACUAGAGGUAGGUAGGGGAGAAUGGAAUUCCCGGUGUAGCGGUGAAAUGCGCAGAUAUCGGGAGGAACACCGGUGGCGAAGGCGGUUCUCUGGGCCUUACCUGACGCUGAGGAGCGAAAGCGUGGGGAGCGAAACAGG
rnacentral:rRNA from 1 species